GCCGAGCCCCUCCAACUAGCGUGCUAGACCUUUGACGCUGUUUCCCCAUCGUCCAAGCUCCACCAUGCCCACACGUCCGUCCUGCUCCUCCGUGCACACGCCCAUGCAUCCUAAUCUCCCUGGAAACUUCACACGUGUACGGCUCCCUGUGGUGAUAAUAUUCAGCGCUGCUUGGCCAGGGUACCGUUCCCCUGCGCGCUCGCCGGACGCCGCCGCACAUGCUCCCUGCUCGGCCUCCCCGGCGUGCUGCUCCCUCGCCUUGGUAUCCCUGCGAGCUCCUUCUCCCUCGCCCGGUUUCCAGCUCAGGCCUCGCCGGAUGCCACCGUCGCUUUUCUGACCUCGCCUCGACACUCAAUCGCUGCAGCACGCCAUGCCAUGCUGCACUGUCAUCGUUCGCUAUCCUCAUCCUCGCCAAUUUUCCUCGUUGUUUCUCGGCUACAACCGUGUCAGCUCCUACGCGUCGUGCGCGUUUUGUGUUCGGGUCGAGCCCCAGGAUUUUGAGGAAAAGGAAGCUUCAGUACAUCGGCCGGUGAAAAGAAUAAACUGGUGGUAGUCAUGGUCCUUGCAAAAUCCGAGAUCAGCUUAGUCGCGGUAUGUGAAUUAACCACGUGAUGCGGAGAACCCGAGCCAAGUCGACCCCAAGCGCAGACUGAUUCGCGAGGUGAUGCGAAUGAUGAACCUGAAGAUGGAUAGACUGAACGAGUGGCAGAACAAAAGCUGCUCGCCAAAGGAUCGCCGUCUAACAACACUAACCUAGUGUUACUCAGGUUCUAACCUUGUGCUGCUGUGAUGGUGUUAAGUGCCGGUGGGCUCGGCCUUCUUAUAAGUCUAACUUCCAGAAAUAGAUGGAGCACUGACAAGAUAAACUUACAGAGAAAGAUCAGUCAGCCAAAUCAAAUGAUCUAGGGAUUGCCUUGUACCAUGAAUCUGCCCUCUUCUUCAUGUGCGCUUCAUGCAGUUUCAGGCGGAAGACUGUCAUGUUCUCCUUAUGCAAACCUACAAAUACCUGCUCCUUGGUCCAAACUCUUGCAGCUAACCCAGCAGCAUAUGCAGCUCCAAGGGCUCUUGUCUCUAUAUCAGCUGGUCUAAAAGAUUUUGUACUACUUGAGUCUAACAGUCUACUGCUAACAGCAUGCAUAAUUUGCCACGCCAGAUUGAUCAUUCCUUUUAUUGAAGACUAUGUUCUGAAUUGACCAUAAUAGGAGAGAGAAGCAUGGGGAGUUAGCAUCUCGGCCUCAUCCAUUUCCAACAAGCCAAAAGCACUAACUGAAAGUCUGGCACUUUUAAGCAAAAAUAACAUGUCCUAAAAGCACAGUAGUAUAAUUGAUCACAAUUCAGUUCAUAAAAUACAUGGAUAAGUCAUAAGUGCUUGUAUGUGAGUACAAAGAAGAGGUGAUUGUAUUUACCUAGAUCUGCAAACGCUACAUGUUAGUUGUGUAAUCUCCUUUUGUUUCUCUCUCAUCCGCUCGAUGAGCACAGAUGAAAUGUAUAUGUUUACAACGUCCUCAUAACCAUCCCUCACCAUAUCCUCUGACAAAACUGACCAAAUCAAGAUAAGAACAAUAUCAGGUGGCUGCUGGGUGAUGAGAUAUUGAAGACCCUAGGGGUUCAUUUGUUGGGUUCCAUAAACUUUGUAGAAGCUUGUUCUCUCUAAAAUGAGCAAUCAGGAAUCACUGAAAGGUAUCACGGAAUUAGCUGCAGGUUUCAGCUUGUACAUGUGUGUCUAUAAUGACUAUGUAAGCAAGUUACAACGACGUGCCAAUGCAAUAAACUGAGUAUAUCACAGUGGACC